ACGGGUGAGUAGCGCGUGGAUAAUCUGCCCUGGUAUCUGGGAUAACAUUUCGAAAGGGGUGCUAAUACCGGAUAAGCCCACGGGGACUUUGGUCUUUGCGGGAAAAGGUGGGGACCUUCGGGCCUACUGUAUCAGGAUGAGUCCGCGUACCAUUAGCUGGUUGGCGGGGUAACGGCCCACCAAGGCGACGAUGGUUAGCUGGUCUGAGAGGAUGAUCAGCCACACUGGAACUGAGACACGGUCCAGACUCCUACGGGAGGCAGCAGUGGGGAAUUUUGCGCAAUGGGGGAAACCCUGACGCAGCAACGCCGCGUGAGUGAUGAAGGCCUUCGGGUCGUAAAGCUCUGUCAGAGGGAAAGAAGUGUAUUAUGGCUAAUACCCAUGAUACUUGACGGUACCCUCAAAGGAAGCACCGGCUAACUCCGUGCCAGCAGCCGCGGUAAUACGGAGGGUGCGAGCGUUGUUCGGAAUUAUUGGGCGUAAAGCGCGUGUAGGCGGUUUUUUAAGUCUGAUGUGAAAGCCCCGGGCUCAACCCGGGAAGUGCAUUGGAAACUGGGAGACUUGAAUACGGGAGAGGGUAGUGGA
rnacentral:rRNA from 1 species